rnacentral:rRNA from 1 species
UACGAAGGGGGCUAGCGUUGUUCGGAAUUACUGGGCGUAAAGCGCGCGCAGGCGGUCUUCCAAGUCAGUGGUGAAAGCCCGGAGCUCAACUCCGGAACUGCCAUUGAAACUGUUGGACUUGAGUACGAGAGAGGUGAGUGGAAUUCCCAGUGUAGAGGUGAAAUUCGUAGAUAUUGGGAAGAACACCGGUGGCGAAGGCGGCUCACUGGCUCGUAACUGACGCUCAGGCGCGACAGCGUGGGGAGCGAUCCGG